rnacentral:rRNA from 1 species
AUUGAACGCUGGCGGCAGGCCUAACACAUGCAAGUCGAACGGUAACAGGAAACAGCUUGCUGUUUCGCUGACGGGUGGCGGACGGGUGAGUAAUGUCUGGGAAACUGCCUGAUGGAGGGGGAUAACUACUGGAAACGGUAGCUAAUACCGCAUAACGUCGCAAGACCAAAGAGGGGGACCUUCGGGCCUCUUGCCAUCGGAUGUGCCCAGAUGGGAUUAGCUAGUAGGUGGGGUAACGGCUCACCUAGGCGACGAUCCCUAGCUGGUCUGAGAGGAUGACCAGCCACACUGGAACUGAGACACGGUCCAGACUCCUACGGGAGGCAGCAGUGGGGAAUAUUGCACAAUGGGCGCAAGCCUGAUGCAGCCAUGCCGCGUGUAUGAAGAAGGCCUUCGGGUUGUAAAGUACUUUCAGCGGGGAGGAAGGGAGUAAAGUUAAUACCUUUACUCAUUGACGUUACCCGCAGAAGAAGCACCGGCUAACUCCGG